rnacentral:sRNA from 1 species
GGGGAUGCACCGGUUUCGACGGUUGUGAAUAAUGCACUUGCUGCAUGUGGGAGUGAAGGUUCCCUAAACUGACAAAAAAAUAACUGCAAUUUUCGCAAGAAAAGAAGAAGAAGUUGUUGAAGCUUCUUCUGCAGAAGCUCUCGCUGCGUAAGCAGGUUAGCCGGGAUCUGCAGGGUGCUGUUCCUAACUUUGCUGAAUCCUGUCACCAACAGGAACUUGCCGUAAUUCAUUCCAACUGGUUUUACGGGACAUUUUAAGCUGGAUACGGAGAUGUCGCUUGUCGUGCUGCUAAGUAUCUCCCGACAACCAAAUCGCACGGAUAAACAUGUAGAGGCAUUUGGAUUACACAUUCGGACGGGGGUUCAAUUCCCCCCAUCUCCACA